AGGGGAAGGGCCGGAUCUUGGACUGUGUCCCCGGUGCCCUGGGCUCCAGAGACUGCACUGCUGGAAUCACACUCCUGGCUGCGCAGCCCCCU
rnacentral:pre_miRNA from 1 species